GCCGCGGUGGUGGAAUGGCAUACACGCAAGACUUAAAAUCUUGUGACUUCACAGUCGUGAGGGUUCGACUCCCUCCCGUGGCA
rnacentral:tRNA from 3 species